rnacentral:rRNA from 1 species
AUUGAACGCUGGCGGAAUGCUUUACACAUGCAAGUCGAACGGCAGCACGGACUUCGGUCUGGUGGCGAGUGGCGGACGGGUGAGUAAUGUAUCGGAACGUGCCCAGUCGUGGGGGAUAACGUAGUGAAAAUUACGCUAAUACCGCAUACGAUCUAUGGAUGAAAGCGGGGGAUCGCAAGACCUCGCGCGAUUGGAGCGGCCGAUAUCAGAUUAGGUAGUUGGUGGGGUAAAGGCCCACCAAGCCAACGAUCUGUAGCUGGUCUGAGAGGACGACCAGCCACACUGGAACUGAGACACGGUCCAGACUCCUACGGGAGGCAGCAGAGGGGAAUUUUGGACAAUGGGCGAAAGCCUGAUCCAGCCAUUCCGCGUGCAGGAUGAAGGCCCUCGGGUUGAAAACUGCUCUUGUACAGAACGAAAAGGUUUCUACUAAUACUAGGAGCUCAUGACGGUACUGUAAGAAUAAGCACCGGCUAACUACGUGCCAGCCGCCGCAGUAA